rnacentral:rRNA from 1 species
AUUGAACGCUGGCGGCAGGCUUAACACAUGCAAGUCGAGCGAGUGGCGGACGGGUGAGUAAUGUCUGGGAAACUGCCUAAUGGAGGGGGAUAACUACUGGAAAGGGUAGCUAAUACCGCAUACCAUCAGAUGUGCCCAGAUGGGAUUAGCUAGUAGGUGGGGUAAAGGCUCACCAAGGCGACGAUCCCUAGCUGGUCUGAGAGGAUGACCAGCCACACUGGAACUGAGACACGGCCCAGACUCCUACGGGAGGCAGCAGUGGGGAAUAUUGGACAAUGGGCGCAAGCCUGAUGCAGCCAUGCCGCGUGUGUGAAGAAGGCCUUCGGGUUGUAAAGCACUGUUGUCGGGGAGGCGGUACCCGAAGAAGAAGCACCGGCUAACUCCGUGCCAGCAGCCGCGGUAAUUC